GAUCAUGGCUCAGGAUGAACGCUAGCGGCAGGCUUAACACAUGCAAGUCGAGGGGCAGCGCGGGGCGGCAACGUCCUGGCGGCGACCGGCGGAAGGGUGCGUAACGCGUGAGCGACAUGCCCGUUGCCCCGGGGACAACCGGUGGAAACGGCCGACUAAUCCCCGAUGGGACGGAGGCCCCUCAUGGGUCUCUGUUGAAAGUUACGGCGGCGACGGAUUGGCUCGCGUCCGAUUAGCUAGUUGGCGGGGUAACGGCCC
rnacentral:rRNA from 1 species